rnacentral:rRNA from 1 species
UACGAAGGGGGCGAGCGUUGUUCGGAUUUACUGGGCGUAAAGGGCGCGCAGGCGGCGCAUUUUGUCAGGCGUGAAAGCCCCGGGCUUAACCUGGGAACUGCGUUUGAUACGGAUGGGCUAGAGUUCGGGAGAGGAGAGUGGAAUUCCUGGUGUAGCGGUGGAAUGCGCAGAUAUCAGGAGGAACACCAACGGCGAAGGCAGCUCGCUGGGACGGUACUGACACUGAGGCGCGAAAGCGUGGGGAGCGAACAGG